rfam:Neolecta irregularis DAH-3 scaffold_628, whole genome shotgun sequence.
GGUGAGAUGGCCGAGUUGGUCUAUGGCGCUAGGUUAAGGUCCUAGUGGGGCAACCCGCGUGGGUUCAAAUCCCACUCUCAUCA